rnacentral:rRNA from 1 species
AGAGUUUGAUCCUGGCUCAGAUUGAACGCUGGCGGCAUGCCUUACACAUGCAAGUCGAACGGCAGCAUAGGAGCUUGCUCCUGAUGGCGAGUGGCGAACGGGUGAGUAAUAUAUCGGAACGUGCCCUAGAGUGGGGGAUAACUAGUCGAAAGACUAGCUAAUACCGCAUACGAUCUACGGAUGAAAGUGGGGGAUCGCAAGACCUCAUGCUCCUGGAGCGGCCGAUAUCUGAUUAGCUAGUUGGUGGGGUAAAAGCCUACCAAGGCAACGAUCAGUAGCUGGUCUGAGAGGACGACCAGCCACACUGGGACUGAGACACGGCCCAGACUCCUACGGGAGGCAGCAGUGGGGAAUUUUGGACAAUGGGGGCAACCCUGAUCCAGCAAUGCCGCGUGAGUGAAGAAGGCCUUCGGGUUGUAAAGCUCUUUUGUCAGGGAAGAAACGGUGGUAGCGAAUAACUACUACUAAUGACGGUACCUGAAGAAUAAGCACCGGCUAACUACGUGCCAGCAGCCGCGGUAAU